ACUGUAGGCUGCAACUCGCCUACACGAAGCUGGAAUCGCUAGUAAUCGCGGAUCAGCACGCCGCGGUGAAUACGUUCCCGGGCCUUGUACACACCGCCCGUCACACCAUGAGAGUCUGUAACACCCAAAGCCGGUGGGAUAACCUUUAUAGGAGUCAGCCGUCUAAGGUGGGACAGAUGAUUAGGGUGAAGUCGUAACAAGGUAUC
rnacentral:rRNA from 1 species